AACGCACCUUGCGCUCCUUGGUAUUCCGAGGAGCAUGCCUGUCUGAGCGUCGUCGAAUCCUCAAACCCCCACUCCAGGUUUCCCUCGAAGCCUUUUCGGGGUUUGGACUCUGGGAGUCUCUGCCGGCUUUUCCGUAGAGAAGUCAGGCUCUCCUGAAAUGCAUUAGCUCGUGGGUCGCGAUCCUCGCACGGCACGGCCUUCUCGGCGUCGUAAUGAUCGUCGUGGGCUGGAAGUGCGUGGUCGGUCGGAUUCCCCCAUGCUCCUAAUCCCUCGCUUGCGGAUCGACCUCAGAUCAGGCAGGACUACCCGCCGAACUUAA
rnacentral:rRNA from 1 species